rnacentral:sRNA from 1 species
UUCAACUCCGUGCCGGGGGGGAUGAGAACCCCCGACCGGGGUUCGACCACUGGCGCAGCCAGUGGGACGGAAUGGCCGCAGGCCAUGACGCCCGAAGGGCGAGCGAAGCGAGUCAAUCCCUCCUUCACCACCA